rnacentral:rRNA from 1 species
CCUACGGGGGGCAGCAGUGAGGAAUAUUGGUCAAUGGCCGGAAGGCUGAACCAGCCAUGCCGCGUGAAGGUCAGUGCCCUAUGGGCGUUAAACUUCUUUUGUGCGGGAGCAAUAAUGGUCACGUGUGGCCAGACGAGAGUACCGUACGAAUAAGCCUCGGCUAACUCCGUGCCAGCAGCCGCGGUAAUACGGGGGAUGCAAGCGUUAUCCGGAUUUAUUGGGUUUAAAGGGUGCGUAGGCUGUGAGGUAAGUCAGCGGUGAAAUGCCCCCGCUCAACGGGGUGAAGCGCCAUUGGUACUGGCGUGCUGGAAUGCGGAUGCCGGUGGAGGAAUGUGUGGUGGAGCGGUGAAAUGCAUAGAUAUCACACAGAACACCGAUUGCGAAGGGAUCUAACGAAUCCGCGAUUGACGCUGAUGCACGAAAGCGUGGGUAUCAAACAGGAUUAGAUACCCCAGUAGUC